GUAUAUUAAAGUUGUUGCGGUUAAAAAGCUCGUAGUUGGAUUUCUGUCGAGGAUGGCCGGUCCGCACUUUGUGCGUGCAUCUGGUUCAGCCUUGGCAUCCUCCUGGGGAACGUAUCUGCGCUUAAUUGCGUGGUGCGGUAUCCAGGACUUUUACUUUGAGGAAAUUAGAGUGUUCACGGCAGGCAAACGCCUUGAAUACAUUAGCAUGGAAUAAUAAUAUAGGACCUUGGUCCCAUUUUGUUGGUUUCUGGAACUGAGGUAAUGAUUAAUAGGGAUAAUUGGGGGCAUUCGUAUUAACGUGUCAGAGGUGGAAUUCUUGGAUUACGUUACGACGAACUACUGCGAAAGCAUUUGCCAAGGAUGUUUUCAUUGAUCAAGAACGAAAGUUCGGGGAUCGAAGAUGAUUAGAUACCAUCGUAGUCCGAACCAUAAACUAUGCCAACUAGAGAUGGGCGAUCGUUAUUUUAUUGACUUCGUCCGCACCUUAUGAGAAAUCAAAGUCUUUGGGUUCCGGGGGGAGUAUGGUCGCAAGGCUGAAACUUAAAGGAAU
rnacentral:rRNA from 1 species